rnacentral:tRNA from 1 species
GAAAUAUGUAGAUCAAAUAAAAGCUUCUAACUUUAUAUUUUAACGAUUUAAUUUCGUUAAUAUUUCU